UGUCUUUUCCAACCUUAAUGAUUCUAUGAUAUGAGUCUAUAACCACUGUAAGAUCAGGACCUCAUUAUCCCUGGUGGUGUGCAAGCUUUGCACAGAUACUUUCCUAGUGGUGGACCUAAUGGCAACAACACAAUAUUCCUGGUUGUAACUAUCUUGUUAAUACCGUCCCAGGGUCCAGGAGGUCACCAUGAAGGUUCAUGCCCCCAGCUGUGAGGGGGCACAAAAUACAGUGGCUAGCAGAAGCAGCUGGUCUUUGAGAUAGAAAAGGCUUGGUCAUGCUGGCUCUGAGAAGGCCCUGAGACCAAAUCCUUUUCCUUUAGUCCAGGAGAAAAUAAAAUAAUUGGCAGGACACUAGAAGAAAAAGGACUUGGAUUCCUGAGAAGGAUACCAGGAGGUGUGGUCGUAGGAGGGAAAUCGAGUGAAAGGUGAUGCUUGGGUAGGUGUGACCUGGAGGAUCAGUAUUUAUACCAGCCUUUCUGUUAAACACAAUGACUUUCUGUCAGUAGAGGUUUGCUCACCAAAGGCAUACUCGGUGCUAGGACCACUUCAGGGAGUCUUGUGCUUAGACUUGUACACCUUGUAAAGGAAAGAGUCUUAAAGUUCUUGAUUGCAGGGUAUAUAUUAAAUUGCUCCAUCAUCUGCAAAAGUUACUUUAAAGGGAAAAAAAACACCGGCAGUGAUGUCUGGGCUUGGACAGACAAACUACUUCUAGAAACAUCUUCUCCCUACAUCUGCCUUCUGAAAUAAAUAUUUGAACAAUAAGGAGCUACAUCAUAGUUAUGCUACUGGAAGGCAAAAAGAAUCAAUGACUGUGCAAUAUGUUCCCUACUUUUUUUUUCCAUUACAUGGUGUCAAAGUCUCAAUCUGGUAUCCACUGUGCUCAAGUUCUGCAAAAAUAAAGGGCUGUUUAGGAGAACACAUGCUAGCAGCCAUCCUAGGUGAAAUUAGGACAGUUUAAGAUAUCUGCUUGUGCAAAAGACUUGUAUGUCAGACGUGGAAAAAAGAAUCCUCUAGAAGCACAGUGCACAAAUUUCCCACUGUAUCCUUUAGGUUAUUUUACCUGAUCUUACCUGGGUUCACAGCCCCAGCAAGCACAUAAGGCAAUCAGACCCUUCUGUUGUUUGUGGCCUGUAUUUUAGUCUUACAUUCUAAAAGGGUUUGGUCUCACUGAAGUCUUAAUGUUCAGUUGUAAGAGGUAUCUGUGUGAAAUGUAAUGGUCUGCAAUGCAAUGGGAGAUGUCUGUGAUACAACGGGAGACCAGAAUGAUAAUGUUAGUGGUGUGCCCCAAUGCAGGUGGAUCUGCAGAGCAGCACAGUUGCUGCUGAGGACCUGUUGUGUCUACUGUAUGUAUUGCAGGAGGUUUCACUUCAGACUAGUUCUUGUUUGGAGCUGUGGACUGAAUAUUCAUUAGUGGCUGAAGUGCAUUUAGUGGAUCGCUGGAGCACAUUUUCUGUUUUGUUUUUUUUCCCAAAGAAAUCCAGCCCGCUUUCUGAAACAGUGUCAAGUUGUAAACCAAAGCUCGAUAUAAGUCCAGGUGAACAGGAGAUUUACUCUUCAUUUUACAGUGCUACUGUAGAGAGGCACCCCUAGCGUGCAAGUCUCACUGAACUUGAGCUUUGUAACCUCUCAGAGGCAAGUUACUCUGUGUGGGGCUCCACAACAGGACUGAUUACAUACCUGUACACACCCUUGUGUCUUGUGAUCCGCCUCUGACAGGAAGAUAUUGGGGCUGUCUAAGCUUUAGACAGUCUGUUCCCUACUUUUCUAACUGCUCCUCCUCCUUUGAUGUACAGAAACUCAGUCCUUGGAUCACCUCUGUCUCACUAAUAUGGCAUCACAGACUUUAAUACUCCCUGAGCAUAACUUGCUGACUACCUUCCUUUGUUUACCUUUUAGUCACAUGCAUUUAAACAUCCUCCAGAGUUACAGCAUCCUCAAAAUGUACAGAAAAACUAUCCAGGCUUUUCGGAGCCCCAUUUGAACGUUCUUCAGUUCUGUGCUCCACUCUUCCAUAGCAAUCUCAGCAAAGCUCACAGAAAAUCCUAACCUCAUAUAAAUAAAAAGUUUCACUCAGCCUUGAGAAAAUCUAAAUGAAGCAGAAUGUAUAAACACUCUUGUUCCUCAUUUUUUUUCCCUUCAGUCAAGAAAAUCUCAAGGCAGUCUAACUUGCCAUGCUUGGCCAAGCUUCUUCCUGAUCAAAGAAUCCUCUUUAUUACACAUUUCUAGACCCUUGAAAGGAAACUUAACUCCUUUGUGGUGGGAAAUAGAGCUGGAGCAGAGACAACAAGGAAAUCAGUGGAACAAAGUUUGAGGUGGCUGGAAAUAUAUUCAUCCUUUCUGCAAGUUAAAAUUUGCUUUAUUCUGGAAGACCAUCAACUUUCUUCCUAUAGAGGAGAGAUAAGCAGGUCGUUGAUAAAGAUAUUGAACAGAACUGGACCCAACACCAAGUACUGUGGAUCAGCACACGUAACUGGCCUCCAUCUGGAUUUAACUUCAUUUACCAUCACCCAGUUUUUAACCCAGCAGAGCGUACGCCUGUCCAGACCAGCAGAAGCCAGUUUCUCAAGUAGGAUACUGUGAGAUACUGUGUCAAAGGCUUUGCUGAAGUCCAGGACUACAUCCACAGC